rnacentral:lncRNA from 1 species
AUGGACUCUGAUUCAGACUCUCCGUUUAACUACUCAUGGCCAUCCUUCCCAAAGAUGAGAAUCCGGAGACGGACAUCAAAAGCAGAGAAGCUGUGUUCCUCUCCUGACUCCUGCACUCCAUUUCACCUCAGUUCUUCAGACACUGCUGCUGUCAUGCUCAGAGACUCCGCUAAGGUCAGACGCCACACAUAUCGCUACUCCUACAAAUCAGCAUACUCAGUAUGCCAGAUCUACAGACACUCGGCUGUAACAUUUUCCAUCCAAAUCCCAUCUCCUCCCUUCACUCUACUGCCUUUGUCCUAUGAUUGAUCUCUUUGAAAGUCUUGGGGAAAUACUUUAUUUGAUCUUGGCACAUUGUAGCCUGAAUCUUAAGCCACAACUCUUCUACUGCCUUACAAGUCUUUAGUUUGACAUGAAUCAAGACACUGUAGUUUAUGAGACACCAGACUUAGUGUAAUGGAUAGUUCACCCAAAACAAAACAACAAAAAAAUUGUCAUCACUUAUUCACCCUCAUGUCCUUCCAAACCUAUAUGAUUCUGAAAAAUCUCUCAGUGUUUUUUGUGCAUACAAAUGUCAGCGGGGACCAGUAAUGUUUUGGACCGCAUUAACUUUCACUUUAUGGACAAAAAUGGUAGCAGAUUUUUCCAGAAGCAUGUAAUACAGGUUUUUUCAUUUAAAAUGUUUCAUGAGGGUGAGAAAAAAUAUUUCACUUUAAGUGAAAUAACCCUACUAUAUCGCUACAUUACUUUUGUCGUUUUCUUAGUACCUUAAAGGGUUAGUUUACCCUAAAAUUUUAAUUAGGCCAUAAAUUACUCACCCUCACCCAUCCUAUGUGUGUAUGAAUUUCUUCUUUCAGAUGAAUCCAGUCAGAGUUACAUUAAAGAUUGUGUUUGAUCUUUCAAGAUGUUUCAUGGCACUCAUGCAUCAGUCCAAAAGAGGUUAAAUAAAAAGUGCCCAUCAAUAAAAAAGAAAAGAAAAUGGCCUCCUGUAGCGAAUCGAUGCGUUUUUGUAAGAAAAAUAUCCAUAUUCCAAAUGUAAUAAUCACUUUAAUAUAGCUUGCGCUCACUGUUGUACACGGAAGCAGUUCCAGGUGGAUGACUUAUGAGUUUGGCUACUGUUUUCAUUUUUGGGUGAACUAACCCUUUAAAUAUUUGUUUGUUUUCACUUCUGG